rnacentral:lncRNA from 1 species
GGACUUGUGCAGUAUGCCAAGUGACAACUACAUCAGAGCAUAACUUGAAAUCCCAUCUUAACGGAAGGAAACAUAAGGCAAAGUGUGAAGAGCUGAAAACUUGCAAGCAAGUGGCAAAAAGUGAAGGAAUCUCAUCUGUUACAACAAAGUCAAAAUCAGCUUAAUCAGGUGCAAAUAAAACAUGCUGCUGCAGCACAAUCAGACCGCAGUGCUAAUGAAGCAGCUGACCCCAAACAGGUUAUUAAUUUUAUAACCCUAGAACUUCCUUGGACAAAAUUGUUGAGUAAUCAAUAGAUGAAGAUACUCCAUCUGUUCUAAAAAGAAUGACACUAGUUCCUUGUUAGUCCUUUCCAAAAAGAAUGAUACCUUUUAAAGUUGGAAAUAAUUUAAUUUGAAUUUCCCAUUUUACCCUUAAUUAGCAUUUGCCACGCAAAUGUUAUGGCAUUGCUUAAGACGUGCAAGUUUCAAAAGCCUUAUAAUUUUAUGACAUAUUUAAUACCACAAGUUUCAAAAAUAUUCCUUUCUUAAACUUCGUGUCUAGUCAAACUAUGCCACAUAAGUUGUAACGGAUAGAAUAUUAAGCAACCUAUUACGUGAUGAUUGAUGAAAAGAGGAGCGCUUGAUGUUCCCAUGGUAAAAACAAAUUCGCUGCUAGUGAUACUAUUAGCGGCCAAGUUAGGAACACUGCAAAAUGAGCUUAACUAUUAUGAAGGAAAAAUAUUAGGCUGAUCAAUCAAGCUAAAUGUGCAAGAUGGCAAUUGAUAAUGCAUACUAAGAUCAAGUGCAUUAUCAUUUAAACUAAGAAGAAGCUUCGUUGCUAAAACAAUCAUCAAGCAACCUGAAAGUUAAACUGGCACUUUGUAAAAUUUGAAGUUCGCAAGAUUUCAUUUAUCCUAGUAUAUUCUCAAACCUUAGUUUCUCUUAUAAACAUUUGAAGCCACUAAAAAGGUGAGAGAACUGAAGGUCUGUUCUUUUUAAGCAUUAGCACAACCUUUAUUCUAGCCUACCAUUUAUUUUUCGAUUGGAAACAAACUCUAUGCCCUUUCGGGCAGGAGUAAGGCCCGUCUACAUAUUACCCUCCCCAGACCCCACUGUGUGGGAUUAUACUGGGUUGUUGUUGUUGUUGUUGUUGAUAAAGCUAAAGUAAUCUGUAGCCAGUGAUUAAAAUACACCCUGUGGAACUGCAGGUUAAAAGUGUGAAGGAAACUCUAGUUCAGGUUGGGAAGAAAACAACAGGUGUGCCGAUCAAGGAAACAACGCUUCCAGCAGAUCAAGGAAUCAUUGCAAUUUACCAAGGGAGAGACGUAAUACUCUAAAAAAAAUUUUAACAUCAGUACCCUCCCUAUUCUAGCCUAGUAUUUGUUUUCUAUAAUCAAGCAUAAGUAUUAAUCUGUAUGCCAGUGAUUAAGACGCCUGUGGAACCGCAGGUUGAAAGUGUGAAGGAAAAUCAAAUUCAGAUUGAGAAGAAAAUGGUAGGAAUGCUGGUCGAGGAAACGAUAGUUCCAGCAGAUGUUGAAGAGAUUAAACUUCCAGAGAUUACUUCUGUAAAGCAAGUUCAGACAGAGUGGACUUGUGCAGUAUGCCAAGUGACAACUACAUCAGAGCAUAACUUGAAAUCCCAUCUUAACGGAAGGAAACAUAAGGCAAAGUGUGAAGAGCUGAAAACUUGCAAGCAAGUGGCCAAAAGUGAAGGAAUCUCACCUGUUACAACAAAGUCAAAUCAGCUUAAUCAGGUGCAAGUAAAACAUGCUGCUGCAGCACAAUCAGACCGCAGUGCUAAUGAAGCAGCUGACCCCAAACAGGUUAUUAAUUUUAUAACCCUAGAACUUCCUUGGACAAAAUUGUUGAGUAAUCAAUAGAUGAAGAUACUCCAUCUGUUCUAAAAAGAAUGACACUAGUUCCUUGUUAGUCCUUUCCAAAAAGAAUGAUACCUUUUAAAGUUGGAAAUAAUUUAAUUUGAAUUUCCCAUUUUACCCUUAAUUAGCAUUUGCCACGCAAAUGUUAUGGCAUUGCUUAAGACGUGCAAGUUUCAAAAGCCUUAUAAUUUUAUGACAUAUUUAAUACCACAAGUUUCAAAAAUAUUCCUUUCUUAAACUUCGUGUCUAGUCAAACUAUGCCACAUAAGUUGUAACGGAUAGAAUAUUAAGCAACCUAUUACGUGAUGAUUGAUGAAAAGAGGAGCGCUUGAUGUUCCCAUGGUAAAAACAAAUUCGCUGCUAGUGAUACUAUUAGCGGCCAAGUUAGGAACACUGCAAAAUGAGCUUAACUAUUAUGAAGGAAAAAUAUUAGGCUGAUCAAUCAAGCUAAAUGUGCAAGAUGGCAAUUGAUAAUGCAUACUAAGAUCAAGUGCAUUAUCAUUUAAACUAAGAAGAAGCUUCGUUGCUAAAACAAUCAUCAAGCAACCUGAAAGUUAAACUGGCACUUUGUAAAAUUUGAAGUUCGCAAGAUUUCAUUUAUCCUAGUAUAUUCUCAAACCUUAGUUUCUCUUAUAAACAUUUGAAGCCACUAAAAAGGUGAGAGAACUGAAGGUCUGUUCUUUUUAAGCAUUAGCACAACCUUUAUUCUAGCCUACCAUUUAUUUUUCGAUUGGAAACAAACUCUAUGCCCUUUCGGGCAGGAGUAAGGCCCGUCUACAUAUUACCCUCCCCAGACCCCACUGUGUGGGAUUAUACUGGGUUGUUGUUGUUGUUGUUGUUGAUAAAGCUAAAGUAAUCUGUAGCCAGUGAUUAAAAUACACCCUGUGGAACUGCAGGUUAAAAGUGUGAAGGAAACUCUAGUUCAGGUUGGGAAGAAAACAACAGGUGUGCCGAUCAAGGAAACAACGCUUCCAGCAGAUCAAGGAAUCAUUGCAAUUUACCAAGGGAGAGACGUAAUACUCUAAAAAAAAUUUUAACAUCAGUACCCUCCCUAUUCUAGCCUAGUAUUUGUUUUCUAUAAUCAAGCAUAAGUAUUAAUCUGUAUGCCAGUGAUUAAGACGCCUGUGGAACCGCAGGUUGAAAGUGUGAAGGAAAAUCAAAUUCAGAUUGAGAAGAAAAUGGUAGGAAUGCAGGUCGAGGAAACGAUAGUUCCAGCAGAUGUUGAAGAGAUUAAACUUCCAGAGAUUACGUCUAUAAAGCAAGUUCAGACAGAGUGGACUGGUGCAGUAUGCCAAGUGACAACCACCUCAGAGCAUAGUUUGAAGUCCCAUCUUAAUGGAAGGAAACAUAAGGUAAAGUGUGAAGAGUUGAAAACUUGCAAGCAAACGGCCAAGAUCGAAGGAGACCUGCCUGUUUCAACAAAAAAGUCAAAUGAGCUUAAGCAAGAGCAAGUAAACCAUGUAGCUGCACCACAAUCAGAGCACAGUACUAAUGAAGCAGCUGACCCCAAACAGGUUGUCACUUUUUUUAACCCUAGAACUUCCUUGGUCUUUCCUGGAAUAUUAAGUGUUGCUCAUAAUGCAAUUGUUGAGCAAACAAUAGAUGAAGAUACUCCAUCUUAUUGAAAAAUAAUUAUACUAUUUUCUUGUUAGUCCGUUCCAAAAAGAAUGGGGAAGCCCGAUGCACCAAGCAUCAUGUGUUUAUGUAGGGUCCGAGAAGGGCCGCAUCCAAAGAGGGUGUGAUGUAGGCAUACAAGCACCAGUGGUUGAUUCCACAGUUCCAAAAAGAAUUAUGCCCUCUAUAUUUGGAAAUAAUUUCGAUUUGAAUUUCCCAUUUUACCAUCAAAUUAACAUUCGCCAUACAAAUGUUAUUGCAUUGUUUAAGACCACAAUUUCAAAAGUUUUAUAAAUAUUACUUGUGACAUAUUUAAUAUCACAAACUUGAAAAGAAUGGCACUGGUUCCUUGUUAGUCUUUUCCAAAAAGAAUGAUAUCUUUUAAAGUUGGAAAUAAUUUAAUUUGAAUUUCCCAUUUUACCCUUAAUUAGCAUUGCCACGCAAAUGUUAUGGCAUUGCUUAAGACGUGCAAGUUUCAAAAGCCUUAUAAUUUUAUGACAUAUUUAAUACCACAAGUUUCAAAAGUAUUCCUUUCUUAAACUUCGUGCCUAGUCAAACAAUGCCACAUAAGUUGUAACGGAUAGAAUAUUAAGCAACCUAUUACGUGAUGAUUGAUGAAAAGAGGAGAGCUUGAUGUUCCCAUGGGAAAAGCAAAUUCGCUGCUAGUGAUACUAUUAGUGGCCAAGUUAGGAAAACUGCAAAAUGAGCUUAACUAUUACGAAGGAAAAAUAUUAGGCUGAUCAAUCAAGCUAAAUGUGCAAGAUGGCAAUUGAUAAUGCAUACUAAGAUCAAGUGCAUUAUCAUUUAAACUAAGAAGAAGCUUCGUUGCUAAAACAAUCAUCAAGCAACCUGAAAGUUAAACUGGCACUUUGUAAAUUUUUUAGUUCGCAAGAUUUCAUUUAUCCUAGUAUAUUCUCAAACCUUAGUUUCUCCUAUAAAC